CAGUCGCCGCGGGAAUACGAAGGGGGCUAGCGUUGUUCGGAAUUACUGGGCGUAAAGCGCACGUAGGCGGAUAUUUAAGUCAGGGGUGAAAUCCCAGAGCUCAACUCUGGAACUGCCUUUGAUACUGGGUAUCUUGAGUAUGGAAGAGGUGAGUGGAAUUCCGAGUGUAGAGGUGAAAUUCGUAGAUAUUCGGAGGAACACCAGUGGCGAAGGCGGCUCACUGGUCCAUUACUGACGCUGAGGUGCGAAAGCGUGGGGAGCAAACAGGAUUAGAUACCCCAGUAGUCCCUGUCUCUUAUAU
rnacentral:rRNA from 1 species